GAUGAACGCUAGCGGCAGGCCUAAUACAUGCAAGCUGAACGGUAAUUCUUGUAGCAAUAUGAGAGCUAGAGUAGCGUAAGGGUGCGUAACACGUAUGCAAUCUGCCCACAACAGGAGGAUAGCUCUUCGAAAGAGGAAUUAAUACUCCAUAAGAUCACGCGAGGGCAUCUGAGAGUGGUUAAACUACGGGGUUGUGGAUGAGCAUGCGUCUGAUUAGUUAGUUGGCGGGGUAACGGCCCACCAAGACGAUGAUCAGUAGGGGAACUGAGAGGUUGGUCCCCCACACUGGCACUGAGAUACGGGCCAGACUCCUACGGGAGGCAGCAGUAGGGAAUAUUGGACAAUGGGUGAGAGCCUGAUCCAGCCAUGCCGCGUGCAGGAAGACAGCCUUCUGGGUUGUAAACUGCUUUUUUCAGGGGAUAAAAUACCGGUGCGCCGGGAAUUGCAAGUACCUGGAGAAUAAGCCACGGCUAACUACGUGCCAGCCGCCGCAGUAAAAC
rnacentral:rRNA from 1 species